GAGAGUCUUAAAAGCCAGGCGGAAGGCUGGAGGGUGCUGGGGAAGUUCAGGCUGUCCCCAGAAGGUGACUGUGAGGAUAAAACAAAUUAGGAAGGAGGAGGACAGAACCCUCGUUCUGCUCCCUGACAGUCAACUUAUACGACCUUCAUGCUGGACUACACAUGUCAUCUCCCGGAGCAGCAGGCGGUGGCUGGGACGGCAGCACAGAGAAAGCCCGGCACAGGCUCCGCUCAGAGCCUCAGGAUGUGGGGAGGCUUCUACAGAUGACCAGCUUGGUGGCGUCAUCAUCCCCACCUGGAGGAAGGAGACCUUAUCUGGAACCAAGAGGCAUGUCUGUAAGAAACUCUUAUGAAGUUGUCGGGGUUCAAGUUGGCCUUCCUGUUGUUCAACCUGGUGGAGAAUGUUCCUGUGGGCCUUGGCAGCAAGUCAGCAUUCUUCGUUGGCAUGGAGUCCUAGGAAAAAGAGGCUCUCCACCCUGAAGCCAGUCGCAUAUCACCCCAAUAAACAGUUACAACGCCUCUGCCAACACAGGAUCCCAAA
rnacentral:lncRNA from 1 species